rnacentral:rRNA from 1 species
CCUGAACGCUGGCGGCGUGGCUAAGACAUGCAAGUCGUACGGGCGUAGCAAAUACGUCAGUGGCGAACGGGUGAGUAAUGUAUCGCUAACGUGCCCCCGAGUCAGGGAUAGCUGCCCGAAAGGGCAGGUAAUACCUGAUGAGACCACGACCGGGCAUCCGGUUGUGCUCAAAGCAGCAAUGCGCUCAGGGAGCGGGCGAUAUCGUAUCAGCUAGUGGUGAGGUAACGGCUCACCAAGGCGACGACGCGUAGCCGGACUGAGAGGUUGGCCGGCCACAUUGGGACUGAGACACUGCCCAGACUCCUACGGGGGGCUGCAGUAACGAAUCUUCCGCAAUGCACGAAAGUGUGACGGAGCGACGCCGCGUGUGGGA